GCUCCCGACGCCCCCCGCCCCCGACUCCGGGCCGGCCGGGCUGGCUGCAGCGGCCGGCGCACUCACCCGCUCCCCGGCUUGCGCGCAGGCACACUCAAGAGAGAGCAGCGAGCUCGCCGCGCCGCCGCCGCCACCGCCCCCGGCCCUGCGCCGCCGCCGCCGCCGCCGCCGCCGCCGCCCCCGCCCCGCCUGGCCCCCGGCCCCGCCCCCGGCCCUGCGCCGCCGCCGCCGCCGCUCCUAGGGUUCCGUCUGCUCAUCAGACAACAGAUAUUUAUUGAAUGUUCUUUGUCAUGCGUCUUCAAGAUGUGCCCUGGCCAUUCAUGCAAGUUUCAAGGACUCUGAAUCUGUUGAGAAAAAGAGGUUACGUUCCAAUUCUGCUUUAGUUCCAACCCAAAUGCUGAGAAACACUCCAUGGAAUUUAAUUACAGGGCGAUAACUGUGAUCUUACCAAGAUUUAUGAACAGGAAGAUCCUUGGUGAUUGUAGUCAGUCAAAGGGUGGCUUUGACAUAGCACCUAUCUGUUAGGGCAAAUACUGCCAGGGAAAAGGUGACAUUUGGAAUCAUCUGGGAUUGGACUCUUGAUCAAUAGAUGCGAAAUGUCAGGUGGACAUGAGAACUGUUGGUCUUUGGUACAUAUGUGUUGCAAUGAGUAAGGAUGAGUAAUGUGAAGGAAAAGUAGAAUCUUGGGACCCCAAACUCACUAUGCCAAAGGGAAAGUUAAGCGUGGGAGACUGAGUCAGGCAAAAA
rnacentral:lncRNA from 1 species